GUUAGCUCAGUCGGAUAGAGCGCUGGAUUCCUAAUCCAGAGGCCAUAGGUUCAAAUCCUGUACGG
rnacentral:tRNA from 1 species